rnacentral:rRNA from 1 species
AGCGAACGCUGGCGGCAGGCUUAACACAUGCAAGUCGAGCGGGCGUAGCAAUACGUCAGCGGCAGACGGGUGAGUAACGCGUGGGAACGUACCUUUUGGUUCGGAACAACACAGGGAAACUUGUGCUAAUACCGGAUAAGCCCGUUACGGGGAAAGAUUUAUCGCCGAAAGAUCGGCCCGCGUCUGAUUAGCUAGUUGGUAGGGUAAUGGCCUACCAAGGCGACGAUCAGUAGCUGGUCUGAGAGGAUGAUCAGCCACAUUGGGACUGAGACACGGCCCAAACUCCUACGGGAGGCAGCAGUGGGAAUAUUGGACAAUGGGGGCAACCCUGAUCCAGCCAUGCCGCGUGAGUGAUGAAGGCCCUAGGGUUGUAAAGCUCUUUUGUGCGGGAAGAUAAUGACGGUACCGCAAGAAUAAGCCCCGGCUAACUUCGUGCCAGCAGCCGCGGUAAU